rnacentral:rRNA from 1 species
GACAGAGGGGGCAAGCGUUGUCCGGAAUUACUGGGCGUACAGGGCACGCAGGUGGCUGCAUAGGUGGCGUGUGAAAGCCCCGCGCUUAACGCGGGGAGGCCACGCCAAACGGUGCGGCUCGAGCGAUGCAGAGGGUGGUGGAAUUGCCGGUGUAGUGGUGAAAUGCGUAGAGAUCGGGCAGGAACACCAAAGGACGAAGGGUAACCACCUGGGCAUCAGCUGACACUCAUGUGCGACAGCGUGGGGAGCGAACCGG